UCAUUUAUGGUUCAAGGAAGGAAAUUACAAACUCGCUUAGACAGUUGGUAAAUGGACUCUUAAAGGUGCAGGUUACGUUGGAAGGCAAAAUCUUGUUGCCUGGCGAGGAAAAUCCUAAUGUGGAUGUAAUGUUCAUGAUCAGUUUUCUAAUGGAUUUUUCUGCUUUAGAGCUGGUGAUGGGCGUGUUAAUGAACAAAUACUUCUGGUAUUUAUGCAAACUGUUUGGGCGUGAACACAAUAGAAUAGCGACAGUAUUAAAGCAGUUUCACGGAGACUGGGAUGAUGAGAGAUUAUUCAAGAAACACGAAGGAUUGUUGUUGCUGAACUGCAGCAUGUUACAUACAACGAAUUUCUUCCAGCAGUUUUAGGAAAUGUGUUAAUGGAAACCUUACAGUUGAAACCUCUCAGUAGUGAUCAAUACACAUCGGAUUAUGAUGAGACGCUGGAUGCUUCAAUAGCUAAUUCUCUUUUGCGACUGCUGCAUAUAGAUAUGGACAUAGCCAGAUCUCUGAUUUUAUACAAAGAAUCAACAGUGAUGGUGUGGUAGAGACUGAACAUACAUCAUCAUUAUUCUUCAACCCAUUCACCAUGUAUGAAGAAGAAGCUGUUGAAGAACUGGGUAGAGGCAGUGCAUCCUACAGAGCUCGGAAGGUUGAUUCUUACUUCACUGAAGAGGUAGCUGGCAAGCUGUUCAAGGGUUCUGGUAAAUUUGGUUUAGAUUUGGUAGCACUCAACAUUCAAAGGGGAGAGACCAUGGUUUACCUGGUUAUAUUCACUGGAAGGCACUUUGUGGUGAAGAAGUAUCCCAAUUCAGUGAUCUAUCAUCAGUUAUGAAUGAAGACGUUAUUGAUGCUCUUCAAGAAGUUUAUAGUGACCUGGAAGAUGUUGAUUUGUACAUAGGAGGAGUUUCAGAGCAACCUUUCCUUGAUGGCAUCCUGGGACCCACAUUUAGCUGCAUAAUUGCUGAUCAAUUUUUAAGAAUGAAAAAAGGAGAUAGAUUUUGGUAUGAAUAUAAAGGCAGCCCUGGUGCUUUCACUGCAGCACAACUGAAGGAGCUGCACAAAGUUACAUUGGCUAGAAUUCUGUGCAACAACAUCCCAGAGUUGAUAACCAUACAACCCAACGCAUUCAAGAUUCCAAGCUCGACUAAUCCUCGGGUAAGCUGUCACUCUGGUUUGAUUGGAGACUACAGCUUAAGCCCUUGGCAAAACGUAUUAUUUUAGUGUA